rnacentral:rRNA from 1 species
UGGGGAAUUUUGGACAAUGGGCGCAAGCCUGAUCCAGCCAUGCCGCGUGCGGGAAGAAGGCCUUCGGGUUGUAAACCGCUUUUGUCAGGGAAGAAACGGUCUGUCUUAAUACUGCGGACUAAUGACGGUACCUGAAGAAUAAGCACCGGCUAACUACGUGCCAGCAGCCGCGGUAAUACGUAGGGUGCAAGCGUUAAUCGGAAUUACUGGGCGUAAAGCGUGCGCAGGCGGUUAUGCAAGACAGAUGUGAAAUCCCCGGGCUCAACCUGGGAACUGCAUUUGUGACUGUAUAGCUAGAGUACGGUAGAGGGGGAUGGAAUUCCGCGUGUAGCAGUGAAAUGCGUAGAUAUGCGGAGGAACACCGAUGGCGAAGGCAAUCCCCUGGACCUGUACUGACGCUCAUGCACGAAAGCGUGGGGAGCAAACAGGAUUAGAUACCCAUGUAGUCCCUGAGCGGGCUGGCAAGGCGCAU